rnacentral:rRNA from 1 species
AUGGGCUGCUGCUUCAGCAAGAAGCGCAUGAAGCAUCCAGACGGCUCUGCUGCCGUCCCUCGCCGCUACAAGCCGGAGGACCGCGACCCCCCGCCCCCACCGUCUCCGGAGGAGGAGAAGGUCAAGGAGGUGCUCUCGGAGACGCCGAGCACUAAGGUGGCGGCCGAGCCUAAGCCCGUCGCCAGUGUAGUGGCUGUGGAGGAGCAAGAAGUGCUGAAGGUGAAGGCUAGUGUCGACCCCGUCCCCGCGGUGAGCGAUCUCGGGAGCUGCCUGUCCAUGGCCACCGACGAGAGGUCCGAGGUGGCGUCCGAGUCGUCCGUCGCGACCAGCUCGCUGGCGGGGCCGGACCGGUCGCCGGGGAAGCCGGCCAGGAAGCGCGCUGUCUCCGGCGAGCUGGGGCUAGUCCGGCGCGACCGCGCUGUCACCGCCGCCUAUGGCGUCCGGUCCCGCAGCUGUCGGGGCUCGCCGUCCCCUCCUCCGCGGCGGGAGCCACGGGAUCGCUCCGUGCGGAGGUCGCCGUCGCCCGCGGCGAAGCGGGCGUCGCCGGAGCAGCAUCGGGCCGCGAGCCCGGUCGAGUCCCUGCAGCGAAAGCCGCCCGUCCCGAGCAGGCCGUGCAGCCGCGCCUCGCCGCGGCGGGCUCGGGAGGCCCCUCCACCGCCGCAGCCGGAAGAGGACGCCGUCACCACGGCAGGCGAGGAAAGCGUCGCGGAGCCCAGUGCCGGUGCCGACGGCCAAGGCGACGGCGACGGCGAGGGAAAGGAGUCGCUGGAGAACCCGCUGGUGUCCAUGGAGUGCUUCAUCUUCCUCUGA